CCAGCUCUGCAAGAGAUUACAACAUUUUUUUUUUUUUUUUCCCUUUACUUGUUACACAAUUUACCAACAGAUUAUAUGUUAUUUAGCUACAAUAAAUAAAUUGUAUUAGCUAGUGGAAAUCAUCCAACCGUUUAGGCACACAAGAGAGAGAGAGAGAGAGAAGCCAAGUCAAGUCUCUGGACACAGAAAAUACCAAGGCCAUACAAGGAGAAAAGUUAUAAAGGAAAGGACGGGAAUUAGGAGUUAGAAGCAAACACAUAAGGAAAAGACCAGGAAGGAGACCUUUGAGACUUGGCAAUGAGAAAUAGGUAGUGAUGUAUUACAGUAAGAGAAUAAAGACAAGGCAAAGUGAAUGAGAUAAGAAUGUUACAAUGU